rnacentral:rRNA from 1 species
UGCAGUCGAACGGCAGCAUGAUCUAGCUUGCUAGAUUGAUGGCGAGUGGCGAACGGGUGAGUAAUACAUCGGAACGUGCCCUGUAGUGGGGGAUAACUAGUCGAAAGAUUAGCUAAUACCGCAUACGACCUGAGGGUGAAAGUGGGGGACCGCAAGGCCUCAUGCUAUAGGAGCGGCCGAUGUCUGAUUAGCUAGUUGGUGGGGUAAAGGCCCACCAAGGCGACGAUCAGUAGCUGGUCUGAGAGGACGAUCAGCCACACUGGGACUGAGACACGGCCCAGACUCCUACGGGAGGCAGCAGUGGGGAAUUUUGGACAAUGGGCGAAAGCCUGAUCCAGCAAUGCCGCGUGUGUGAAGAAGGCCUUCGGGUUGUAAAGCACUUUUGUCCGGAAAGAAAUGGCUCUGGUUAAUACCUGGGGUCGAUGACGGUACCGGAAGAAUAAGGACCGGCUAACUACGUGCCAGCAGCCGCGGUAAUACGUAGGGUCCAAGCGUUAAUCGGAAUUACUGGGCGUAAAGCGUGCGCAGGCGGUUGUGCAAGACCGAUGUGAAAUCCCCGAGCUUAACUUGGGAAUUGCAUUGGUGACUGCACGGCUAGAGUGUGUCAGAGGGGGGUAGAAUUCCACGUGUAGCAGUGAAAUGCGUAGAGAUGUGGAGGAAUACCGAUGGCGAAGGCAGCCCCCUGGGAUAACACUGACGCUCAUGCACGAAAGCGUGGGGAGCAAACAGGAUUAGAUACCCUGGUAGUCCACGCCCUAAACGAUGUCAACUAGNNGUU